rnacentral:tRNA from 1 species
UGGCAGCUCAGCGGUAGAGCACUACCUUGACAUGGUAGGGGUCACCAGGUUCGAACCCUGUACCGCCCACCA